rnacentral:tRNA from 1 species
UAAAAGAUAAGCUAAAUUUAAGCUAAUGGGUUCAUACCUCGUUUAUGGACAAAAUAAAUCCUCUUUUUA